UGCUGCUCAGCAAGUGUCCGACGCACGGGUAGAACCACUGGAGGGAGGUCAGUCCAUCGUUCCAGGGCAAUGGGUAAUGGUGUACAAGACACAACGCGUAACAUUAGAUGGACCAUUUCAGGUUCUGUUGACAACUGACGCAGAGGUUAAACUACAAGGCAAAAAUAGAUGGGUUCAUGCUAUAGAUGGGUUCAUGCUAGUUUUUGCCAACUUUUGCCAACCCCCAGUGAUGCAAUAUAAAGUGAUAGCCUACUAGAUGUGUUAAAAUGAAACCUACUGUACAUAGUCAAUUCUGCUCUCGUGUAGUUUAAAUUACGAUGUUGCAUAUAGCCUACUAGAUGUGUUAAGAUUUCCUUGAUACGACUGCAUUUCUUCUCCUGUCUGAUGUAGAUUUGAGACGACCAGAUAUCCUUGCCACUGUGAUGUCAUAAGACAGUCGACUACCCUACGCCAAGACGAUGAGGUCUCCAAGGAAGGAACAUUCACCACCGGAGAAUCUUGGACCCCUGAGGGCAACAACGUACUCCUGCCGUGAAUGGAACCAGAGACUGAGACAAUCACAGCCAUAUACUGACACGCGCUACACACCCUAAGUUUAGCUCACAAGCAUAACCUACUAACUUCCCCAUAGUUAUUAAAUUACCAGCAUAAUGUUUAUAUUUUUGUUAGCAAUUUUUCUAGGAGUCCAGGCAUCAUAUGAUAGCCAUAAUGACGUGCCCAGAGAUAACACGUUUAGCUACAGCUGCUGCCUUCGCUCAGGCAAAGGGUUACAACUCAUGUUGGGUCUGUGGUCUGUUACCCAUUUCCUCAGACACCUAUUCAUACAUGGCGAUCCCGUUCACCCUGAUUGAUUAUGUCAUUGCCUACAGCAAUCACAUGAGCCGUUUUUAUCGAGAUAAUAUCACUUUGUACAAGAGACUAAUAACUGACAACCCACCAGAAUAAGUGAAGAUUUGUUAUGCACCUAAGGGAUUAUUAUGUUGGGUCAGUAACCCAGAACUCGAUCGUAUAGCUUUCAAGGUUCAGGGUUAUCUUUAUUGUCCCACGAGAGGAAAUUUGUUUUACAGCCAGGGAUCACAAAAGACAGAAUUAUUGUGUUCAGAGAGUGACCAGACCCGAAGCUGAGUUUUAGUUAACUUUAUUCUCCCAACCUCGGUUACCAUGCUCACGUAAGCUGUCCGGCUCUGUCACGCCCACCAAACGGUCUUAAAGGCAUAGUAACACAUAUGCCGGUACACCAGUAAAUUCCACUGCUUAAACAGACAUAACAUUUUCUCCCCCCCCCCCUUAAGGAAGUACAACACAACUUUCAAUCCUUGAAACUAGAAACCCCUUUAACGACUAAUAACAUAGUCCCUGAACCAGACAGGCGGAGCCCUUGCUCUCUGAGGGCGAGCCUGCUGAGGAGCAGGACCUGGCGGCGGCAGGGGGUUAACCCCCAACUCAGUCCCCGGAACAGGCUGCCAGCUGAGAGAAGCAGCGGGGAACAGGGAUGAUGCAGGGCCUGUCGGGGCCCAAACCCUGUGCAGGCGGUUCGAGUGCCACCGAGUCCCAUCGUCCAGUCUGUAGGUGGCCGGUCCUAGCUGCCAAGUCACCUGUCGAGGCACUGACCAGUAUGACUGCAGCUUGUUCUUUUGGUGUGCAUGUUUGAUCCGGACCCAGUCCCCUGCGGACAGGGAGGGGUCCCGUACUCUGCGCAAGGUGUCAAACCUCUGUUUCAUCUGUGCCUGUGAGCUGCGGACCUGUACUUUGGCUUUUUGGAGCCCUGGGCUCACAUGUGCAGGGGCUGGCUUGGCUCUCAGGCAGUCCAGUGGUUGUUUUAGUUCCCACCCUAUCAUGAGCAGGGCCGGUGACACCCCAGCGGUGGAGUGCUUGGAUGCCCGGAUUGUCAAGAGGGUUUGAUUGAGUGCAGCACUGAAGGUUUUCCCCUCCUCCAAACAGGCCCGUAUUCCGUUUUUAAGGGUUUUAUUCAGUCUUUCUACCCCCCCAUUACUCUCCAGGUGGUACACUGCUGUCCUGAUGUGCUUGAUGGACCGCCGUGACAGGAACUCUGAGAACUCAGAUGAUAUGAAUUGGGGCCCAUUGUCCGACGUGACGGUGCUAGGCUGCCCCCAGCGCCCGAAAAGCUUGCCCAGGCAGGUGAUGAUGGCGUGUGUGGUAAUGGAGCCCAGCUCAAAGGCUUCCGGCCAUUUCGAGUGGACGUCGUGCACUACCAGUAGGUAGCGGGCGUGUGCAGGUGCCCCGUGAAGCUCGCCGCAGAGGUCAAUCUGAAUAUGCUCCCAUGGUGCGGACGGCCAUUGGAGUGGGGUGAGGGGUGCUGUGGCUGGCUGGCCCGUUUUCCCGCUCAAAAGGCAGCAGGUGCAGUUUUUCACCAGCUCCUCUACGUCGUAGUCAAUGCGAGGCCACCACACUGUGUCUCAGCAGCGCUGCUUCACCUUGACCACUCCCAGGUGGCCUUCAUGUGCCAUGUGUAGGACUCUGGUCCUCAGUGUCUCUGGUAUGACCGUGCGAUGGCCACGUGCGAGGCACCCCUCCCCCCAGCAUGAGAGCUCGUCGCGGACUCUGUGGUAGGGGAGUAGGCUGGCGUCCACUUUAGCGGGCCAGCCGUCCUGAAUGUAGGUGCGGAGGGUGGAGAACGUCUCAGCCGAAGCCUGCUGCAGUUCGGCCAGUGUGACUACUGCGCUGAGGGGCCCGUAGAGCGUUUGGACCCAGUCCUCAUCCCCCUCUGAGUCUGGCGUUUCACCUUCCAACCCUGCUGUGGUGGAGACUGCCCUUGAUAGCAGGUCUGCCACCAUAUUCGUGCGCCCAGGCACAAACUCGAGUUUGAAACUGUACUGGUUCAGUCUAUCAGCCCACCUCAGCAGUCUCAGUGGCCUGUGCCCUGAACCCUGGGUCGCCAGCAGUGUCGUCAGAGCCUGAUGGUCCGUUCGGACGGUGAAGGCCCUGCCAUAGAGGUAGACGUGCCAGCGUUCACAGGCCCACAGACAAGCGAGGGCCUCCCUCUCCCCCACUGAGUACUUUUGCUCAGCCGGAGUGAGCGCCCGCGAGGCGAAAGCCACCGGACGCUCCAUGCCCUCUUGGACCUGGGAGAGUACAGCCCCAAGUGCCACCCCAGAAGCAUCACAGGUGACCAGGGUGGGGGCGGUGAGGCUGAAAUUGGCCAGAGUGGGUGGGGAUGUGAGCUGCCGUUUAAUGACACGCACGGCCUCCUGGCAUGCCGGGGUCCAGUCCCAAACAGCAUCCUUGCAAAGCAGCUGGCGCAGAGGGGCUGUUGCGUCAGAGUAGUGUGGCAGGAAACGUAGAUAGUAGGUAGCCAUCCCCAGGAAUGAGGACAGCUGGGACGGUGACCGUGGGUCUGGAAGGGACAGAAUGGCCUCAGUGUGAGACAUGAUCGGAGUGAUGCCCGCCCUGGUGAGCCUGAAGCCCAGGAACUCGACCUCCUCGGCCCCAAACACACACUUCUCCGCGUUCAGGGUGACGUUGUGCUGUCUGAAGCACUGGAAGACCUGCUCCAGGCGAGCAUUGUGCAGUGCGGUGGAGGGCGCGUGCACCACCACAUCGUCCAGGUAGAUGGAGACCCCCGGAAUGCCAGCCAGGAUGAGUGACAUUAUUUUCUGGAAACAGCUCGGGGCCGAGGACAAUCCAAACGCCAUGCGCUUAUAUCUGAACACCCCCACAUGCGUGAUGAUAAUGUUUUUUUUUGACGUCCGUCAGGUCGACGCAGAGACGGAGUCCACCCCCCCUCUUCCUGGCUACCACCAGGUUGGACACCCAGGGUGAGGCUGGUUCAAUGACAUCGGCCUUCGUGAGGCGACGAAGCUCCUCCCCCACCGCGUCACGGAGGGCCAGGGGAAUGCGUCGUAAUGGCUGAAUAACUGGCCGUACAGAUGAGUCCACCGUAGAUGAAGGAAAGACUCAUCACACCAAGCCACAAAGUCAUCCACCACCGGCCCAUGAUCCUGUUCCUCUCCUUCAAGAAGGCUAACCAUAACAGAAUCAUCCGCAAACUUCAAGAUGUGUCUGUUCUUAUGGUUGCUGCGACACUCAUCAGUGUACAUGAUGUACAGAAGGGGGGAGAGACAGCAACCUUGUGGGGAACCUGUGCAUGAGUAGAGCUGGUUGCAGAGAGCACCGUUAACUCUCACACACUGUGACCUAUCAGUUAAAAAGUCCAUUAUCCAACCAAUCAGGUUAGGAUCAAGUUUAAAAUGACAGAUGAGCCUGGAAGCAAGCAGGAAUGGCUGGAUGGUAUUGAAUGGCGAAGAGAAAUCAAUAAAUAAGAGUCUGGCAUGAGCCUUGGGGCACUCCAAAUGCAGUGUAACGACAGCAUCCUCCACACCUCUACCAGGCCUGUAGGCAAAUUGUAACGGAUCUAGCUGUUCCUCGACCUGCAUUAAAACCUCAUUCUUGAUAAGCUUCUCAAAUGGCUUCAUAACUAAAGAAGUCAAAGCUACUGGCCUGAAAUCAUUUAACGCUUUAGGGGUUUUACUCUUGGCUACUGGGACAAUAAUGGAGUGUUUCCAAAGCUUGAGGACCUUCUGCAGCUUAAGAGAUUGCGUAAAAAUAUACUGAACGAUGCUACAGAGCUGGUCCACAGAACUUUUCAGUACCUGGCCACAGAUGUUGUCAGGUCCUGAGCUCUUAGACUUAGUAUGCCUGAAGAGGUUUGCCGCUCUCUUCACAUCAGUAUUAAAUGCUGGAGAAGCUGUGGUCUUUUCUCUUAUCUCAUUCAUCUGUGCAGUAAAAUCAUGAGUAUUACAUCUUAGAUAAAAACCAUUUAAUUCAUCAGCCAGGUGUUUAUCUGAAUUAAAACCGCCCAGAGCGACCCCCCUGUUGCCCUUAUCAUGUGAUCCUGUCAUAGUUUUCAUUCUGUUCCAGGCUCUCUUUAAGUUAUUACUGCUAAUCUCUGCCUCAGUCUUAUCCUUGUACCUCAUUUUAGCCUUUUUUUUAUUUCAGCCCUCACCUCCUUCUUUGAUUCCCUCUCUAUUGACAUCACCUUCAUUAAAAGCAUUUUUCCUUUUA